GGUCUUUUAGCCAUUUCUUGGGCCGCUCCCACCACAUAUGGAGGUUCCCAGGCUAGGGAUUGAAUCAGAGCUGUAGCCACCGGCCUACGCCGGAGCCACAGCAACGCAGGAUCCAAGCUGCUUCUGCAACCUACACCACAGCUCAUGACAACACCAGAUCCUUAACCCACUGAGCGAGACCAGGGAUUGAACCCGAAACCUCCUGGUUCCUAGUCGGAUUUGUUAACCACUGAGCCACGACAGGAACUCCUUUGAUAAUGUAUCUUGUAAGGGAGUUUGGUUUUGUCAUUACAAUUUUACUGAGAAAUGGAGUAUGUUGUAAAGAACCUUCCCUGUGUAGCUUUGGACAAGUGCUUAACCUCUCUAAGCCUCUUUCUUUAUUCAACCUGAAAUUAGACCAAAUAACCCUGUUUGUCCCUUGGAUACUAUGAGGAUAGAAUGGCUUUGCUGUGGAAUACUGAGAUUGGAUCAACUCCUUUAUCUUUCAUCUGUGUAGCAACCUAAGAAACAUCUCGCAUUUAAGCAGCAAAAUAUUACAAGACUUACUUCAGACUACAGAAGAACAAUUCUACCAGUUGUAAGAUAUUAGGUUGUAAUUUAAUUAUUACCUACUAGACCCUCAAAUUUCUGUAGUCAUUCUGAAAAAUUAUAACGCCUUAUAUUUUACUAGGAGGUGAUAACGAUGCUUAGUCUGACUUGAAAAGGCAAAUUAUUAUAUGCAAGUUGAACAACUUACCCAAAAUUAACUCUUAGCUUAGAGGCCAAAAUAAAGACAGCCCAUGGCUUUCUUAAUUUCUGUUUCUUAAUUUUACUAAACAUUACAUAUGAGCUUUGAAUCUGAAGUAGAAUUGUUUUAAUAUGACAAUUGUCAAGUAUGGCAGGGUUCAAGUAUGUUACUAUCACUUGUUACUCAGUAAUUCAAAAAAUAUUUGCUAUCGAGGCUCAUACAUGCCCUGACAUGACAGGUGAUAUUGUGCUUAAAACGCAUGCACACACACAUAUUUCCAUCACAUCAACAUCCACACUCUAGGUGACAUGAGAUGUGAGGGCUUGUCUACACUUGCCUUUGCAUAGAUCUGUUGGUAUGUGGUGGAGUAGAGUAAUACAUGGAUAUUUAUUUCCCAUCAGCCUUAUUUCUUUGUUCUCUUUAAGAGUCUCUGGAAGGCCAGCUUAAGGCUACUCUGUGGCUGUGGCUACCCAUUCGGCAUCCUGUGGGGUGAGAGCUAUGAUCCCCUUAUUUUUGCAUAAGGUGACAGCAUCUUUGUGACACAGGAACACUAGGGGGCCCCUGUGCUACAAAGCCACUGGAGCCAUGUAAGAUGCCCAGAGAGUCUGGGAAUCUGCCCUGAGAUUACUGUUCCCUCACAUGGAGGCCCUCAGCUAGCUGCUUGGAGCUGGCCACACAGGGCUCUAGGUGUGGAUUGUUAUCAAUGGAACAGCAUGCUGGCUGGGACUCCAGGGGAUGAGGCCUGACAUCAGCUGGGUUUUCAAUGGCAACAAAGGCCCCAAACUGCCAUCAGCAGUACCUCCAAGUUAUCCCUUCUCUCUGCAGGGGUGCGAGGUUUCCACCUCAAAGGCAAGGCUGGUGCCAUCCAAGGGGAUCCUGCAGCAAGGAAUCUGAGGCUACUCUUUAUCUGCAGGACAUAGGGCUCUGGACAUUGUGGUUUUCCUUUAAACUUAGUCAGGAAUCAAGGACCACACCAUAUGAACCCUGUUAGGUUCGGUUUGUUUUUACUCACUUUGCUUGGACAAGACUCCCAGUAGGUUUGAAUGAAACCUGAGGUCAGGAACCAGACAAAUCUAUUAGAAUUGGAUCACAUGCCCUCAGCCUCAAUGACAGACGCUGGUUAUAGAGGCUAGAAGCACUACCACAUUGAUGAGACUCUUGCCUGCCAGGGUUUUACAUGUCUUAGAACCAAUCAGAAUAAUUUUUGAAUGUGUGGAAAUAUCAUCUCUGUUCCUAGCGAUUCCUGGAUUGGAAUGCAGGAAGGUGGGGUUGGGGGGAGCUGGUCUCCUUGGAUCCCUCACUGCAGCUAAGGGUCAGAUCACCAGUGUGCCUAGAGAAACAGUGACUUGGCAAAUUUCUCUCUCCUCCCACAUGCUGGGCACAGGGGCAAAUGAGGAAGGCAGGAUGGGGCAAAUUUUGGCACCAUCACAGAUGUUGGCCCACAACUGGUCAGCCUUAACUCUCUCCCUCAUUACCCCUUUCCUUCUGCCUAAGGUAGCAGGCUGGAUCCUUAGGACCCAAAGAUGUGCUUGACCCUACCUUGGGCUGGACACUGUCAGCUGGCCAGUUAAACUCACAGUCUCGGAAAUCCAGCUGGGCAUGGUUGUACUUUGCCCACGUCUGUUACGGCAUAUGGUGCAUUCUCUUGAAGUGACUGACAGAGCUAUUUAAUGUUACAGUUUGUUUGUCUGAUGCCCCCACCCAAAUACCACACAUGCUGUCAUGUGCUAAUGCGUAAAGGCCUUGGCCAACAGUCUCCAUUCAGAUACAAUCCAUGAAUUUCAUAAGAGGAACACUUGCAAAUUGGAUUUGAAUACCACUGCACCCAGGAUGGCAGAGCUGGAUGGAAACUUUGGGAGGCUCACAGACCCCUCAGUAGAAUCCAUCAUUUUAUUCAGGAAGAAAUGGAGGCAGAAUGAGAAAUUGACCCCUAAGGGCUAAGGACAGCCAGUUAGAUCAAGGACUAGGGCUGGAACCCUCAGCCCCGCCUUCCAAGCCAAGGCUCUUCCAGCCCAGGCUAUUGCCACAUGUUCAGUUAGUUUUACUUCAUCUUCAAAAUUUGGCCCCUCAGAACCUUUCCUGGAAUUGGCCUUCUGAGCCUAAAAAGGCUUAACGCACACUUUUGGGAAGAGAGAGCCAUGAGGCCUCUAAGUGGUUUUGAUCAAGUUCGCCAGUAUUUACACCGUAGGAUAAUCUGCAUAAACCUCAUAAAUAAUGUAAAUUCCUACAAAGUGAGUUAACUGUGAGCUCCCUGGUCUUUUGAAAAAUCCAUGUUACGCAAUCACCCUGGCAAAGUUAACAACGCAACAGAAGACCGAAGGUAACCACUGAUUGCAGGCUCUGCUAUUGACCAUUUUAAGUGAGACUAUUUUUAAAAUACUGUAUGCCUCAUUAAGCUGUGCUCUGAAAAUGAGAAAUUUGCUUUAACGGCAUUGUUUUGAAUUGCUGAGAGAAGAAUCUAUCAACCACAAGGUGCCCUGCUGCUGAACUCAGCCAAAAAGCUGUUAAUAACUCCAGCAGAUGUUUCAGCUUUUUAGGCCAAUAGACUCCCUCUCUCCCCCGCGCCCCAUCCCCCUUCCAGAAUC
rnacentral:lncRNA from 1 species